UUACAUGAGAGUUUGAUCCUGGCUCAGGACGAACGCUGGCGGCGUGCCUAAUACAUGCAAGUCGAACGGUCUUUUCUAUGGAAGCUUGCUUCCACUGAGAAGAUAGUGGCGGACGGGUGAGUAACACGUGGGUAACCUGCCCAUAAGAGGGGGAUAACAUCCGGAAACGGGUGCUAAUACCGCAUAGUUUUUCUGAUCGCAUGAUCGGGAAAGGAAAGACGGCCUUUGUGCUGUCGCUUAUGGAUGGACCCGCGGCGUAUUAGUUAGUUGGUGAGGUAAUGGCUCACCAAGACGAUGAUACGUAGCCGACCUGAGAGGGUGAUCGGCCACAUUGG
rnacentral:rRNA from 1 species